rnacentral:lncRNA from 1 species
GCCCUGAAAGUAUGUGGAUAAUAGGAUCAUAAGAAUAUAGUUGCUAUCUCAGAAGCAUGGAAGUAAACAGAGGGGUAAGCAUGUAAAGCAUUGAGAAUAAGGCUGGGAACAUUAGAACCAAACCAAAGUAAUACGUGAUUAUAAAAGCACAAAUGGGUGAUAAUAUAUGGACGUAUGCAAUUAGCUCAUGAAAACAUAUGAAUAGAGCGCAGCAGCGAUGGGACAGCCGAGGAGCCCCCGCGGCUGGUGCCCCCGCCGGCGGGCCUCUGCCAUUGCCGCCUCCUAAUCUCCUCCUUCCUCCUUCCUCGUCGAUUCUUGGGUAAGACCUUCUUCCUCGCCUGCUUGGUUUCUCCCGUUCUCGAUGGAUCUUCCGGGGUUGUCUUUCGUCUGGGGACUCAAGGUUCAGGCUGCAGUCCUGGCAACUCUCAAUCUGCCAAUCUCCAAUCCAGCUCUGGGCAGAGACUCGUUCUUCCUGGUUGCUUCUUUUGGCAGAUGCAAGUUUAAACUUUGCUGUGAGUCAGUGGGUGUCAUUCUGCAAGCUACUCUUGGGGGUCUUGCAUCAGAUUUCAGAGUUUCUCAGUUGGGAGACAGAGUUUUCCGCUUUGUGGUUUCCACGAGAGCUGUGGGUUUCUAUGUCCGAGAUCUUCAGAGCUUUGAGUGCAAACUUUACAAAGUUUCCUUUCAUCUCUGGGGGAAUGGUGGCCCUAACUGGAAGAGAGAGUUCAGUUUGUUCUCAAGAGAAGAAGAAAGUUCCUGGGAGCACGUUAUCCCGACCACAAAAACAAGAAAAACCUUUGCUGAGAUAGUGAAAGGCCCUCCUCUUUCUGGCGCCAACUCGAUCCCAUUGGGACGAAGAUCAGUUUUCAGUAGACUCCGGUGGCCGGAGUUGGAAAAGACGAGAGCACCGCCGUUGCCAGCUUCCAAGGCCAAGGUCAGGGCCACCGCUCAGAGUUCAAACUCAAAUUCGAAUUUGAAUUCAGCCAGAAACACAAUCUUCUGCCCAAGAUGUUUGUCUCCUGACCACCAGAGGCACCGCUGCAAUCAGCCUAUCCGUUGUCGUGCCUGCAUGAAGACUGGUCACGUAGCAGCAUUCUGCAUGGCUGUGCCUGCUCGCCCGAGGAGACAGGAUCCUUCUCCCCCAGAUUUGGUUCUGAACAAGGAUCACUGGGCUCAAGGUUUCAAGGUGGCCGCCACAGGAAAAGGCCAGUUUAAUAAAGGAAAAGCUUUAGAGGUCGACAUAACGGCCUGGUUCCGACCUGCUAUUGGGCCGAAUUGCUCCAGCACAUCUCAACCAGGAUCUCUACAAGAUGUGCUCAGAAGCUGGAAUCCCGGGUGGGCUCCUGGGAAUCCGCCCAUCUCUGUUCCUUGGGUGCUCCCUGAUAAGCAAAGUGAGGUGGCCCUGGAAGCUGAAGAGGCGCACGACCCUAAGCGGUGGACGCUUUGCAUUAAUCAGUCGGUCGUCUACCCUCCUUCCUCCUCUGUUCCCGUGCAAGAACAACAGGAGCACCAGGAAAAUCAAGAAAACCCCAGCGCAAACAAACCUACACCAGCUCAAUCUGCGCCGCUUGCUUCACCAAUGGCCUUCCAACGCUCUGACCCUCGUCCUUUCAUCCCUCAGAAUCUGCAAUGGAUGGAAGUGGAGAACAGGGUGCCAGUUGUCAGGGCGGUGGUUUCCUCGAGGCCUCCGCUUAGGAAUGAAGACCUCGCGAUCGUCACCAUCGAUCAUCUGCCUGGUAAUGCCAUUCACUUUGAUGCUGUUGAAGAAGUUCUAGCUGAGUUCUUUCUUGAGCGGAGAAUACAUGUCAAGGAAAUCCAGCCUUCUACGCUGGGUCAAGCUCUGGUAAGAUUUCACCAUAGGAUUGAUAGAGACAAUCUGGUGAGCUUAGGUCCUAUUCCUUACCUAGAUGUGCACUUCACCUUUACGGAGCACAACAAAGGUAGGAACUGGCGUAGGGCCUACUUCAACACUGAGGUAUGGUUGAUGCUCAUGGAGUUCCCGGCUGAUUAUUGGGAAGAUGGAUACAUCCAGAAUGCUAUUUCAUCGUUUGGGAAACUUCUGCACUGGAGGAAUGAUAGGAGCAGGAUGGUAAGAUUGAUUCUCAAGGCCAGAGUCCUUGACCUACAGUCGGUCCCUCAGUUCAUCGUGCUAUCAGAUUCUCUGGGAUUAGAGAGUGACUCUUGGACAGUGCAAUGUGAGGUCCUUCAAAGCAGAUUGUUGGGUGAUGGACCACAGGAUGAGGAUCCUUUGCCAGUCGAACCUUUCCCAGUAGGGGCACCAUUUGACUUCUUUGGUCUCGGCCAACCUGGUAAUGGACCCUUUCAGAUCCAGGAAAAUGAGCAAGAGCAGAUUCAGAAUCAGCAACAAGUUGAACCACAAGCUCAAGAUGGGGAUAAUGCUGACAAUGCUGCCUGGGAACUCUGGCCUCAGCCUCAACAGCAACAAUUGCAGGUUCCUGUCCAAGUACCCAACCUGAAUCUGGAAGCAGAACAUGUGAUAAAUAUUGACCUGAAUCUACCUGGGGGGAGGAGGACCCAAUGGAGGUUAUUGUAAACCCAGCAAAUCAGCUAAAUCCUGCAGAAUUCAUGGAACUAAAUGAUUUAAUCAACAAUGAUAGUGAUGAAGAGGUUCAAAUUCAACAGAUACCACCUCAAGACCCUGGGCAAGAAAUUGAAGAAAUUCAGCAGAUGCCUCUGCAGGCUCUUGAGCAGCCACCUCCGCAAGUUCAUCUUCACCAGCCAGUGUUGAAUAACCAGCUGAACUUGAACCUGAUGGCUGAAGAACAACAUCUCAUGAAUAUUGCAGACUUAGAAAUGCAGGACUUCCAGAUUGACCCUGUAGAGCUGGAACAAAAUGAGGAACUUUUGGAAGUAAACGAGCUGGCUCCUGAGCUCCAUAUCCCUAAUGAAAAUAUUUUUGAUAUGGAGGGACCAGCUCAACACAACUUACAAAUUGAACCAGUUGCUCUGCACCUUGCUGGGCCUCAUGUCAUUUUAGAAGCCCAUGAACCAGCUCAAAAUGAGUUGGGCCUUGGCCUUCCUGCAAACCUUGAGGCCCAUGAACAUGCACCUGCAGAAGAAAAUGAAAUACCUGAGGACCAGAUGGUUUAUCAAAAUCUCCAGGUUGGAAGGGCCCUGCUGUUUGGCCCAGAGGCUGAUCCUGUCUGGGCUCAAAGAAGCAGAACUGCUGAGGCAACCAGACUUUGGGCUAGAUUCUUUGCUCAAGGUAAUGCUAAUCACCUACAUUUAGCUGUUCCUUCGGGAUGGGUUAAUUUUUUCACUGCCAUGCUUCUAUCUCCAAGUCUGUUCAAUUGGGCAAAAGAUUUUCUAUCCUCAAAAGCUGCAGAUUGUCUGAGGGUUGGUGAUGGGGUUGUGGACUUUCAUGUGCCUCAACAGUGUCCUCAAUACACUGCUUGUGUUGCAGCACCCAAGACUAAGUUAAGCUCACUGGAAGAAGAUGAGGAAGUGGGAAAACGGCUUCAGGAGCCCAAGUCCACUCCCAAGAAAAGGGGACCCAAGAGGACCUGCCCAGUUGUGGAAACAGAGCUCAGAAGGAACAGCAGAGGAAAGCAGGUGAACAAUGGAACCAGAAGAGGCAUCUGUUCUGAUAAAAAGUGUUUCUUCUGCCUCCCUAAUCCUCCUACCUUGUCCAAGCAGGUAAUCAAGAGACUUGGAAAGGAGCUUGGUGAACUGGAAGAUGAACAAUUGACUGAUGAAGCCCUGCUAAAAAAGAAGGAACAAAAGAAGAUAGGGCAGAAAAAGAAGAUGGAAGAAGGGGAGGAGGAGCCAAGAAAGAAAGGCAAUGGAGAUGAAGGACCAAAGAACCCAAAGAAGAAGAACGGUGACAAGAGUAACUGAGUACUUGAGGGUGCCUAGAAGUAGUGGGAACCCCCUAUUUUGUCUAGUCUUCUACUUCCCUCGACGGUUUAUGGAGGGGGAAAACAUAAGAACUUGUAUUUUGAAGUGCAACUCUAGUUGUUUGGUUGUCUCUUUGAUCUCCUUGUCUCUGGACAAGACAAACUCAGACUCACAGAUGUUGCUGGAUAAUUUGCGGUUUGUGUUUUCCUCUUACCUACUGUGUGGGUGCUUUGAUGCUGAGUUUGUAGAGCUUCUGAAUGAUAAUUCUGUUGGAUCUCAUAUAUCACAAACCUGUGAGCAAGUGAUAAAGGUUGAUACUUGUUCGGGCUGUAGAACAAAAGAGGCAAUCUUUCUGACGCCUAGCCUAAAAACUAACCUCUCAUGUGACAAAUGAAUCACAAUCACAAUAGGAAUUGGAAGAUCUUGAGCUGGAAUGUUAGGGGCAUAAAUUCUAGAGAUAAAUGGAAUAUAAUCAGGGACAGGAUUGUGGAAUCUGAGUGUGACAUUCUGUCUUCAGGAGACUAAGAAAGAUGAGUUUGACCAGUCCUUUCUCAGAAAUAUUUGCCCACCCAGUUUCGAUAGCUUUGAAUUUCUCCCAUCAGUAGGCGCCUCAGGGGGGAUAAUUACAAUAUGGAAAGGAAGAUUAUUCAGUGGGGAAAUGAUUUUAAUAAUGAGUUUGCCAUCUCUGUGGAAAUUAACUCUAAAAUGAGUGAUGACAGUUGGAUCUUAACUAAUGUCUAUGGCCCGCGUACACCAGAAGGAAAGCAGAAUUUCACUGACUGGCUCAGGCAGAUUCAAAUGCCUGAGGACAGGGAAUGGAUAGUCUUGGGUGAUUUCAAUUUGAUCAGGAAGCCGGAGGACAGAAAUAGGGGAGAAGGAAACAUGGCUGAAAUGUUCAUGUUUAAUGAUACCAUCAGUCACCUGGGAAUCAAUGAAAUAACACUACAGGGAAGAAAAUACACAUGGUCCAACAUGCAGCCGAACCCUCUCUUAGAAAAGCUUGAUUGGAUCUUCACUUCAAAUGCCUGGACUCUAAAGUAUCCUGAUACAUCUGCAAAAGCUCUGAACAGAAGCCCCUCUGAUCAUUGCCCAUGUUUGGUCCAGAUAUCUACUCAAAUCCCGAAGCCCAAAGCCUUCAGAUUCGAGAACUAUUGGCUUCAAAUGCAGAACUUUCAAGAAAUCUUGAGCAGCAGCUGGAACAGUCCCCUAGCACAGUUGGACCCUGCCAGGACACUUACUGCUAAAUAUAAACGAUUGAGGAAAACUCUGAAGGAGAAACAAGCCUCCCUGUCCAAUCUAAAGACUGUUAUCCAAAAUGUGAAAAAUAUCAUACAGUUCUUGGAUGUCAUUGAAGAAUACAGAGAUCUUAGUCUGCCAGAGUGGAACUUUAGAUCUUCACUGAAGGAGAAAUUAUUUAUGCUUUUGGAUCAGCAGAAAACCUAUUGGAAACAAAGAGGCAACAUUAAAUGGGUGAAGCUAGGGGAUGCAACAACAAAAUUCUUUCAUGCAAAUGCCACAAUAAGAAUGAGAGGAAAUCUUAUCAGACAUUUGGAAAGGGAGGAUGGCUACCUUGCAAGCACACACAGAGAGAAGGAGGAGAUGUUAUGGAAGGAGUACAAGGAAAGACUAGGCAAAUCAGAGUUUGACAGGUUUGGAUUUGAGUUAGAAUAUCUGCUACAAACUAGGGAUGACCUUUCUUGUCUGGAGCUGCCUCUCAGUAAUCAUGAGAUAGAGGCAGUCAUCAAGUACCUCCCUAAUGACAAAUCCCCAGGACCCGAUGGAUUCACUAAUGAGUUCCUAAAAGCCUCAUGGGGAACUGUAAAAGAAGAUUUACUUAAAUUUUGUGACUCCUUCUUUAGUAAUGAAGUCUGCCUGAGAAGCAUCAAUACCUCUUUCAUUACCCUUGUCCCAAAAGUGCAUGAUCCCAGAACUGUCACAGACUUCAGGCCCAUAUCACUGCUAAAUUCCUCCCUCAAGCUAGUGACAAAGAUAAUGGCAAACAGGUUGCAGCCAGUGAUAACCAAACUUGUGCACAAAAAUCAAUAUGGGUUCAUCAAGCAUAGGACAAUUCAGGACUGUGUGGCCUGGGCCUUUGAAUAUCUCCACAUGUGCCAUCACUCAAAAAAAGAAAUAGUGGUCAUUAAGCUUGACUUUGAAAAAGCUUUUGACAAAAUGGAACACCAAGCAAUCAUCAACAUCCUGCAAGCUAAAGGUUUUGGAGAAAGGUGGAUUGGAUGGGUCAGAGCCCUGUUCACUUCUGCUACCUCCCAAGUUCUAUUGAACGGAUCCCCUGGAAAGACCAUUCAUUGUCUAAGAGGGGUCAGGCAGGGUGACCCUCUCUCCCCUCUACUCUUUGUGCUUGCAGCUGAUCUUCUUCAGUCUCUGAUUAACAAGGGAAAGGACUUGGGGCUCCUGUCAUUACCAAUACCUUUGCAAACGAAUCCUGACUUCCCAGUGGUCCAGUAUGCUGAUGAUACACUUAUAAUUCUAGAAGGUGACACAAGACAACUCCUGUUUUUAAAGUCAGUAAUCAACACCUUCUCAGAAGCAACAGGUCUCAAGGUCAAUCUGAAGAAAUCAAUGAUGCUGCCUAUCAACAUCAACGAUCAGAAGUUGGAUCAUCUGGCCAACACCUUUGGUUGUUCCAAAGGCUCCUUCCCUUUUACUUAUUUGGGCCUCACAAAGCCAGUGAUUCAGGACUACUUGCCUCUGAUAAAUAAGUGUGAAAAUAGGCUUGGAGGUGUAUCAGCCCUUCUUUCACAAGCUGGCAGACUGGAAAUAACAAAUGCUGUCAUGACGGCCCUCCCAACUUUUUACCUAUGUUCUCUUGAGAUCCCUGGGACAGUGAUUAAGCGAAUUGAUUCUUUUAGGAAGAACUGUCUUUGGAGAGGAAGCGAUGUGAAUGGGAGAAAACCACCUCAAGCAGCUUGGACCCUAGUUUGUCAACCCAAAGAACAGGGAGGCCUAGGAGUAAUUGAUCUGGGGAAACAAAACAAGGCACUCAUGAUGAAGAAUUGGGAUAAGUUCUUAAAUAAGAGGGAUAUACCCUGGGUACAAAUGAUUUGGGAAAAAUAUUACAGAAAUGAUAAACUUCCAGGGAGGACCAGAAAAGGCUCAUUUUGGUGGAGAGACAAUCUCAAACUACUACUGCAUCAGUACAAGGAAUUUGCUUCCAUAGCCCUUAGAAAUGGUGAAAGCACUCUAUUCUGGGAAGACAAGUGGAAUAAUCGGGAGCUCAAAGCCACAAUGCCAGAACUUUUCUCUUUUACAAAAAAACAAUAUAUUUCUGCCAAGAAAGUACUUGAAUGUAGUAAUUUAUCACAGCUGUUCCACCUGCCCUUAUCUGUUCAGGCAUAUCAGCAACUUCAGCAACUCUUAGUCAUUCUACAAAGAUUUCCUCAUACUCAAGAAAAGGAUGUCUGGAGCUAUACCUGGGGAGAGAGGUUCCACUCCAACAGAGCCUACAAACUUCUAAUGGGUCAUUCCCAGAUCCAUGAUUCCUAUAAGUGGCUAUGGAAAUCAAAAUGCCAACCAAAACACAAGGUGUUCUUUUGGCUACUGUUGAAAGAUAGACUGAACACAAGAAACAUACUAAGGAGGAAGAAUAUGGAGCUUGCAUCCUUUGACUGUGUCUUCUGUGUUAACAGUACGGAAGAAACUGCACAACACCUGUUCCUUCAGUGCCCCUUUGCCGGUCAAUGCUGGGACAAUAUCCAGAUUGAAGCACCUAUGAACACCAAUUUUCCUGAGGCUGUCUCCCAGAUCAAGGAUCAAAUACAAUCCAGUUUUUUCAUGGAAACAAUUAUCCUGAUGUCAUGGUCCAUCUGGAAAACAAGAAACAACCAGAUCUUCGAAGGAAUUCCACCGUCUAUAGGAUCAGCAAACUUCUUUUCAGGAAAGAACUGCUCUUGCUCACGCAUAGAGUCAAAGAUCAGCAUCUACAAGUUCUUGAAGCAUGGAUUCAGUCUCUUUCUUAGUUUUCUUCUUUUUGUUUCCUUCUUCUUUCUCCACCUUUUUACUCUUCUUCCUUUCUUUCUUUGUUCCCUAGUGUACCUGUAUCUGUGUACCCCCUUUUUCUCUAUGAAUAAACUUUCACUGUAGGGGCCAAAGCCCCUCCAGAUUUCUCAAAAAAAAAAACAUAUGAAUAGCAUUAGAGAACAUUCAUUUGGAAUCUAUAAAAACAGGGAAGUGCAACACCAUUUCCACUAAGGGCGAAUUUAAGUCAAUACUC